rnacentral:rRNA from 1 species
UACGUAGGGAGCGAGCGUUGUCCGGAUUUAUUGGGCGUAAAGGGCGUGUAGGCGGCUUGUUAAGUCUGAGGUGAAAAUCCGGGGCUCAACCCCGGAACUGCCUCGGAUACUGGCGAGCUUGAGUGCUCUAGAGGGCAGUGGAAUUCCCGGUGUAGCAGUGAAAUGCGUAGAGAUCGGGAGGAACACCAGUGGCGAAGGCGACUGCCUGGGGAGUAACUGACGCUGAGGCGCGAAAGCUGGGGGAGCAAACGGG